rnacentral:rRNA from 1 species
GACAGAGGGUGCGAGCGUUAUCCGGAAUCACUGGGCGUAAAGCGUGUGUAGGCGGAGCAGUAAGUCGGGGGUAAAAUCUCCAUGCUCAACGUGGAGCUUGUUCCCGAAACUACUGUUCUUGAAGCAUUCAGAGGCAAGCGGAAUUCUGUGUGUAGGGGUAAAAUCCGUAGAUACGCGGAGGAACGCCAAAAGCGAAAGCAGCUUGCUGGGCAUGUCUUGACGCUGAGACACGAAAGCGUGGGGAGCAAACAGGAUUAGAACCGUA